rnacentral:rRNA from 1 species
UAGAAGGAACUCGGCAAAUUGAUACCGUAACUUCGGGAGAAGGUAUGCCCCGGUAGUGUGAGGCGCCUGCGCGCUGAGCAUGAUGGGGUCGCAGAGAAUCGGUGGCUGCGACUGUUUAUUAAAGACACAGCACUCUGCAAAGACGAAAGUCGACGUAUAGGGUGUGACGCCUGCCCGGUGCCGGAAGGUUAAGUGAUGGGGUGCAAGCUCUUGAUCGAAGCCCCGGUAAACGGCGGCCGUAACGAUAACGGUCCUAAGGUAGCGAAAUUCCUUGUCGGGUAAGUUCCGACCUGCACGAAUGGCGUAACGAUGGCCACACUGUCUCCUCCCGAGACUCAGCGAAGUUGAAGUGUUUGUGAUGAUGCAAUCUACCCGCGGCUAGACGGAAAGACCCCAUGAACCUUUACUGUAGCUUUGCAUUGGACUGUGAACCGGCCUGUGUAGGAUAGGUGGGAGCCUGAAACCGAGUCGCCAGAUUCGGUGGAGCCAACCUUGAAAUACCACCCUGGUUUGUUUGCGGUUCUAACCUUGGUCCGUUAUCCGGAUUGGGGACAGUGCAUGGUGGGCAGUUUGACUGGGGCGGUCUCCUCCCAAAGCGUAACGGAGGAGUUCGAAGGUACGCUAGGUACGGUCGGAAAUCGUGCUGAUAGUGCAAUGGCAUAAGCGUGCUUGACUGUGAGACUGACAAGUCGAACAGGUGCGAAAGCAGGACAUAGUGAUCCGGUGGUUCUGUAUGGAAGGGCCAUCGCUCAACGGAUAAAAGGUACUCUGGGGAUAACAGGCUGAUACCGCCCAAGAGUUCAUAUCGACGGCGGUGUUUGGCACCUCGAUGUCGGCUCAUCUCAUCCUGGGGCUGUAGCCGGUCCCAAGGGUAUGGCUGUUCGCCAUUUAAAGAGGUACGUGAGCUGGGUUUAAAACGUCGUGAGACAGUUUGGUCCCUAUCUGCCGUGGGCGUUGGAUACUUGACGGAGCCUGCUCCUAGUACGAGAGGACCGGAGUGGACGUACCUCUGGUGUACCGGUUGUCAUGCCAAUGGCAUUGCCGGGUAGCUAUGUACGGAAGAGAUAACCGCUGAAGGCAUCUAAGCGGGAAACUCGUCUGAAGAUUAGGUAUCCCGGGGCCUCGAGCCCCCUGAAGGGUCGUUCAAGACCAGGACGUUGAUAGGUCAGGUGUGGAAGCGCAGUAAUGCGUUAAGCUAACUGAUACUAAUUGCCCGUGCGGCUUGAUCCU